rnacentral:tRNA from 1 species
GCAGGAGUGGCGGAACGGCAGACGCGCACGGUUCAGGUCCGUGUGAAGGUGACUUCGUGAGGGUUCAAAUCCCUUUUCCUGCA